UCUAUGUCGGCGACCGGCGCACGGGUGCGUAACGCGUAUGCAACCUACCCAUUACAGGGGGAUAACACUGAGAAAUCGGUACUAAUACCCCAUAACAUCCAGGGAGGCAUCUUCUUGGGUUGAAAACUCCGGUGGUAAUGGAUGGGCAUGCGUUGUAUUAGUUAGUUGGUGGGGUAACGGCUCACCAAGACAACGAUACAUAGGGGGACUGAGAGGUUAACCCCCCACAUUGGUACUGAGACACGGACCAAACUCCUACGGGAGGCAGCAG
rnacentral:rRNA from 1 species